UACGUAGGGGGCAAGCGUUGUUCGGAAUCACUGGGCGUAAAGGGCGCGUAGGCGGCCUCAGGUGUCGGAUGUGAAAGCCCGGGGCUCAACCCCGGAGGUGCAUCCGAAACUCUGGGGCUGGAGGUCGGAAGAGGAGGGUGGAAUACCCAGUGUAGAGGUGAAAUUCGUAGAUAUUGGGUGGAACACCGGUGGCGAAAGCGGCUCUCUGGUCCGGACCUGACGCUGAGGCGCGAAAGCGUGGGGAGCGAACAGG
rnacentral:rRNA from 1 species